GAUGAACGCUGGCGGCGUGCCUAAUACAUGCAAGUCGAGCGAACGGACGAGAAGCUUGCUUCUCUGAUGUUAGCGGCGGACGGGUGAGUAACACGUGGAUAACCUACCUAUAAGACUGGGAUAACUUCGGGAAACCGUAGCUAAUACCGGAUAAUAUUUUGAACCGCAUGGUUCAAAAGUGAAAGACGGUCUUGCUGUCACUUAUAGAUGGAUCCGCGCUGCAUUAGCUAGUUGGUAAGGUAACGGCUUACCAAGGCAACGAUGCAUAGCCGACCUGAGAGGGUGAUCGCCCACACUGGAGCGGGGACACGGUCCAGGCUCCUACGGGAGGCAGCAGUAGGGAAUGUUCGGCAGUGGGCGAGAGCCUGACGGAGCAACGCCGCGUGAGUGAUGAAGGUCUUCGGAUCGUAAAACUCUGUUAUUAGGGAAGAACAUAUGUGUAAGUAACUGUGCACAUCUUGACGGUACCUAAUCAGAAAGCAACGGCUAACUACGUG
rnacentral:rRNA from 1 species